CCCAACCUUCCAAUCCAAUCCAGGAUCCAUUCCCUUCAUUCUUUAACCUAUGUGACUGAAGCUAAAGAUUCAAUGAAUUCAAACCUGUAAAGAGACUCCUCACGGUGCCGUACUUUGUUCCUGCCGCUCGCUUCCACACUCUCUUCAAGGUCUGCGUUCAUAUCCUGUUUGCUCUACAUGAGGCGCCGCAUGCUUGUUUUCCCUCCAGUUAAACGAUGUGAAUUCUUGGAGAAGUAAAACGAAUACCUCGCACCAAGGACGAAUUGAUACGCUUCUGUUGAUCUUCCAGGUUCCAGGUGGCACAUUCGAGCUUUGAUCCAUUUUGCGUAUCUUCUCCUUUCCUCCUUCCCGAUGUAGCUUCUAUUUCGGAUUCUGAAGCUCUAAGAAAAAUGGUGGAAAUGAUGCCUUCUCUCUUGUGAUUGAAGCCUUCGCAAACCGAAGAUUCGGUUGAACUCUUGUUGGAUAAAGGUUUGGUUGAGGCUCUUGCAAAAAGGAGGUUCUGUUGAGGCACUUGCAGAAUCGAGGUUCCGUUGAGGCACUUGUAGAAUUGAGGUUCCGUUGAGGCACUUGCAGAAUCAAGGUCUAAUUCUUAGUGAGAAAAUCAGAGUCUGAACUUGGUGAAGGGUGAGCUCCUUUUAUAACCUUCUGAUUCGGAUGAUUCUAUUACUCCAUCCCUCUCCAUCCAUUCUGUUAGAGAAGUUUGUUAAGAUUAGUUGAAAAGUGGUUAGUUAGUUGAAACAGUUAGGAGGUUGAAAUGUUAGUUAGAGGUGAGUGAAGGGAAAUCGGUUAUUUGUUUGGAAACUCAGUUAACAGGUGGUUAAUUAUGUCAAUGCUUGAAAUUCUGUUAGAAAAUUUGUUGACAUUAGUGUUAAUCUAUUACUUAAAUUGGUUAACUAUUAUUAUUAUGAAAUUCAAAAUUGACUAUGAGAUAUAAAAAAGAGGUUAGGCUGUUAGUGUCAGAAUUAUGUUAGUUCUAACUUGGCAUAAGGAAGCCUGUUAUGUUGCUUGAGUUUGGAUGUUAGCAUGUGUAUGGUUUUGUGCUUACGAUGUAUUAUUUUCGAAUGUUUGGAUUAUGUAUGUUGAGCUGGUUUAUGUAGGUUGGACGUGCUCCUUGUGAAUCAUAAGCAAAUCUAAAUAUUGCUUGAGCCUUGGAAGUGUGGAUGGUUUGUUAUGAUUUUGAGUUCUGUUUGUAUGUGUUGAAUUGGCUUAGUGAUGUGUGUAAGAUAAUACUGAACUACUAAUUGUGAAAUGCUGCCAUUUUGCUUGAUUUGGUGCAGGUUGUGUACACUUGCUGCAAGAUUUUCAUUUGCGUGGUGUGAUGCUUAAUUAGUGAUGCGGGAUGGCUGGCUCGAUGGCUUCCAAUGCUCAUGCUUUCUACAGAUUGUUGUGAGCAUGCUAUGAAGUGGACAAUGGUUGGACAACAAAUCAUGGCAUCCAAGUUGUAAUUUAAAGUAUCCAUCAUGGAAUGGUCAACAAAAGAUCAAGAGUCAAACAUUGAAUAUCAGAUUAGAAAUAGGAUGGGGAUUUAGGGUUUUAGGAUGAAGAGUGGUUGACUUGACUUUGGUCAAACUUGACCAAAAAUUCAACUAUUGACCAAAGUUAACAUUUGGUCAACAUAAUUGUUGUGUAAUUUUUGUAAUGUAUGAACACUUGUGAUGGAUUGUAAUGAUGGAAUUGACAUUUUGAAUGAAAUAAGACACCUUGAAUGGAUUUUAUGUGAA